GAUGAACGCUGGCGGCGUGCUUAACACAUGCAAGUCGAACGAUGAAGCCCAGCUUGCUGGGUGGAUUAGUGGCGAACGGGUGAGUAACACGUGAGUAACCUGCCCUUAACUCUGGGAUAAGCCUGGGAAACUGGGUCUAAUACCGGAUAGGAGCGUCCACCGCAUGGUGGGUGUUGGAAAGAUUUAUCGGUUUUGGAUGGACUCGCGGCCUAUCAGCUUGUUGGUGAGGUAAUGGCUCACCAAGGCGACGACGGGUAGCCGGCCUGAGAGGGUGACCGGCCACACUGGGACUGAGACACGGCCCAGACUCCUACGGGAGGCAGCAAUGGGGAAUAUUGCACAAUGGGCGCAAGCCUGAUGCAGCGACGCCGCGUGAGGGAUGACGGCCUUCGGGUUGUAAACCUCUUUCAGUAGGGAAGAAGCGAAAGUGACGGUACCUGCAGAAGAAGCACCGGCUAACUACGUG
rnacentral:rRNA from 1 species